GGGCUCAUAGCUCAGCCUGGUAGAGCGAAUGGCUCUUAACCAUUAGGUCGAGGGUUCGAAUCCCUCUGAGCCCG
rnacentral:tRNA from 1 species